CUUAUGGCCAACUGCCAGUGUCUCAGGAGGUGAAGAGUUUGUGAGUGAAGGGAGUCCUCAGCUUGUCGUCUUCUGAGACCCAAGGGGAUGUACAAGGUUCUGCUUCUCUGAACACAAGAGGAACCAGAAGCGAAAUAAAAGUUUGUUAGCCACGCAGCAACAUGCUCAGGAUGACCUCAUGCUGUUCUUCCUUUCCUGCGGAUGUCCCAUCCCCCUGCUGAUUCAUAUGUAAAUUGCGCUUCCAUUGUUUUUGGUCAUGCCUUGUUUAGUUUCAGUGGAGACAGGUAGCUAGCUGCCUUCCCUUCUGUCGGGGAGAAAACCUGUUUCUCCCUUUGUUUGGUCACAGACUUUAAAGCAUAAUAUCAGAAGUAUUCAUAAUUCCUUAUAUAGCAUUAAUGCAGACAUAUCACAAUGGUAUUAAUCACCAGUGUGUCAUUAGCUUUCAUAAAAGAUCUUGCUGUAUUA